UACGUAGGGUGCAAGCGUUGUCCGGAAUUAUUGGGCGUAAAGAGCUCGUAGGCGGUUUGUUGCGUCUGUCGUGAAGGUCCGGGGCUCAACUCCGGAUCUGCGGUGGGUACGGGCAGACUAGAGUGAUGUAGGGGAGACUGGAAUUCCUGGUGUAGCGGUGAAAUGCGCAGAUAUCAGGAGGAACACCGAUGGCGAAGGCAGGUCUCUGGGCAUUAACUGACGCUGAGGAGCGAAAGCAUGGGGAGCGAACAGG
rnacentral:rRNA from 1 species